UCUAUUGUUGCGAUCCAGCCAGAUAGUGUUGAAGGUCUUCUCUAGUGAAGCUGCUGAGAAUCUGCAGCCGUUCUUUCAGAUCGAUGUUCAGAAAGUCUUUCUCGAUCUACCUAAGGUCACUGAGGCUGAUAUUGAAGAAUUUGAAACCAACUAGAGGGGAUCAGAUUCUGAGAAGAAGGAUUUAAAGGCUCUUUACAAAAAAUUCAAGCGAAAUAUGAGAAGGUAAACAAGAUGGAAGAAUAUAUAGUUUGACCUGUUUCUGCAGGUACUUUGUGAUAUUUUUGUUGCACUUCAGUAUCUUCAUUGACACUGCUCUUCUUAUACCACGCUUUUCUGUUCGAUGCUGUGUUCUGAUCCCAAAUUGGAUUCACAUAGAUUUGAGGAUAUUAUCAAUGAGGCAAUAGCCAGAGAUGUGUUUUCUUAAUCAAUACCUAUCACUUGGGGUUCAUAAUUGUAGUAUGAUUCAGUUCCCAAUUAAAGUGAGCAAUGAAGCCAGUAAAAUUUCCACUUCAUCUCCAAAAUGGCAACCAACGAUCUCCCGGUUAUUUAGAAUACAAUUUCAUGAUUGCAUGGAGAACUUAAAACAACAAAGGCAUACAAGAAACGGGCAAAACGAGUUUCUGAAACUAGACUACCAAUUGAUCCUCUGGUGAGAAGAGCGAAGAGACGAAGGAAAGAACAGUUUGACUCAAUAAUUUCGCCCAUUAUAUCUAAGUGUGGUGGGUUGGCUACUCACGAGCCCACAGAAGAUGAAUUUCAGAGAGCACAGCAGAGGCUCGAAAGGAAGCAGGCCAAAAGGCGGAAACACUAGUCAGCAGCUUAUUACAGGGCAGUCAAUUUACCAUUCUUUUCAAUUGAAGGGAAUUAUUUCUCAUAGGACUAACUACACGCCAAAAGGCUUUCUAACUGGCUUAUGUGCCAGCUUCUAACUGGUUCGCUGCACGUAAGGCUUUCUUAUUGUAGCAUCUUCGCUCAUCUGGUAAAUGCUUUAUCUGGCGGUUCAAAUAUCUUGUUCUUCCGUUCAUUUGAGUGUUCGGUAAUAUGAACCGUAACUUUUGGACUUUUGUUAUUAGUAGUCCGUCCAAUUAGCUGGAUCACUUAUUCUUGUUGGAAUGAGUUCUAGCAUUCAUCAACUUUGCUUCCAUUUGUGCAUGCUAAGAUUGGGUCGUAUUGGUCCAACAGUUAUGUGUUUGUUGUACCCGUUUAUCAAUAUUUAUUUCUUUUUUUAAGAAAAAUGAAACUAA